UGAUGUUUGCAGUAUGGCAAUACAUUCUGUGCAAAAGAAAAUUUCAGUUGAUAUACAAUGAUGUCCAGAGUAUGUUCAGCUUUGUGGUCUCUUCUCUCUCUGGUGCUUUGCACAACAAGUAUAGAUCUCAGCCAGAUCCAAGUUUAUCCAGAAAAUGGUGGAAACUCUGAAGUAUUUAUAGCCCAGCUCAAGGACCAACCAUACAGCUUCAAUGCCAUUACAGCUACAGAUGUAUGCAGAAGUCUGGGUGUUAGUAUAGCUACUCGUGCUCAAGUGGAAACUGCGUAGACCAAUGGCUUACAGACUUGCAGAUAUGGUUGGGUUAUGGAGAAAGUAGCUGUUAUUCCUCGAAAGGAGAAAAAUCCAGUCUGUGGCCGAAAUAAAGUUGGAAUCAUUGUUUGGGCUACUUCUCCUAGCCGAUUAUUUGAUGUGUUUUGCUACAAUUCAACAGGUUCAUUCAUUCUUCUUCUUCUUCUUCUUCUUCUUCUUAUUAUUAUUAAGAUGGUAUUUUUUAUGGUUUUUGUAAUUAUAUCACAUUGACAUUUCUAAGAUUAAAGUGCAAUUAUCGAUUUACAAAAAUCUAGCAUAUAAUAAUUAAUACUAUCAAGAUGUGUAGCAAUGGGUGUGUGAGUGUCUGUGAUUGUUCCCUGCGAUGGGUUGGCACCCCGUUCAAGAUGUCACCCACCUUGUGCUCCGAGUCCCCUGGGAUAGGCUCCAGGCUCCCCGUGACCCUAUGUAUAACAAGCAGUAAAGGAAAAGGAUGGAUGGAAGAUGUGUAGCAUGUAAAGUUAAAUAUGUGUCCUAUGACCUGCAGCAACAACAUCAACCACCCCAAAUAUGACAACGGUGUCUGAUGGGAAGACGGAUGCUAAAAUAACCUCCUCAAUGUUCUCCUCAAUGAACUUCCUUGGUUCAUCCCCAUCUCCACAACCCAUUUCCACUGGUUUCAACGCCUCUAUGAUACCUACAAUAUUUUCUUCCACUGUCACUCCUAUGACCACAAAGAGCUCUCAAACAUCAUCACCUUCUACCUCCCUAACAACUGCUGGAUACCAUUCAUUCAUUUCCUCCUCAUUUUCUACUUCCUUCUAUUCUACAGAUACUUUCUCACAUCCAUUUACUAACUUUUCAUCUGUAACCAUUUCAACUAAUGAAACAGAUAAGCAACCCCCUUCUGGAAAAGGAUUUUUCUUUGGAGUAGUGUCCAUGGCAUGUGUCAUCCUUGUUGUGGUGCUCCUGAUGAUGGCAGUAACAGGAGCAGUUUGAUAUUUCAAGAUUAAACGGCCACACCGUCUUUCUCCAUGGAAAAGGAUUUGCCACAAAGAUAUGUUGGAGACUGAGAUGUGGGAACACACAGAGCAGCAACAUUUCAACAUGCAGAAUGACAGUGGAAACUGUGGUGAUGAUAUACCUCUCCAGAUCGAAGAUGACACAAUAUCAUCCAAAGAACAGCCCUUCUAGGAUGGGAUGGGAUGUUGUAGUGCUCUGGAUGACUCGAAAGAUUGUAAAUAUCAGAUACACUAGGUUUAGACUGUAAGUAGCAGGGUGAAUGUUGCUUUCUGUCUUCUGUUCCUGGUUCCUAAAUACAAGUGUUUGAAACAAAUGAUCUUUUAUUUCAUGUAAUCUAUGCAGAUUUAUUUGUACAAUGAUUGUGGUUCUAAAUGUUUUUUCCAUCUCUUCAGGUUUUUGUUCUCCAUCACUUCAAUUUAUAACAAUACCAACUGUAACAGCUCAGUCAUC